rnacentral:lncRNA from 1 species
ACAAUAUCUCUACUUUAAAUCACGUAUUUAUAUACCAAUAUAUAAAGUUUUGUUAGUAAUUAACCUCAAAAACUUGAUCUAAUUGUUAAUAAAAAUUUUGAAAUACCUUUUACCAUCCUACUCAAAGUAUAGUGUAAUAUACAAUCAUAAAUCAAGAACGAUAACAAUGUAAAAUGCAUAGAGAAUGUAACCAACUUUUAACGAUACUUCUUCUUU